GGGGGCGUUUUUGGAUUCGACGGGGAUAGUUCGAGCAUGGAUAGCGGGUAGUGGGGAGCGUCCGCUUCAUCAACGCUAAAGCCUAUUAAACGGCAAACAAAACAACAACUUCGCAUUCGCAGCUUAAUAACCUGUGAGCGAGCUUCUACCUUGUAUCGCCCAUGUACCAGGAUAGGGGCCCAACUUUAGUGGGAUACGCUGUCACAUCUCCGCCUGGGGUGUGCUGAAGAAGACAAUCAGGCUGACCUAGGAAGAAGCCGGUUACGGGGCGUCAGCCUAGGUGACAUCAAAUCUGUGACUACACCCGUAGAAGUCUAUGUGGCGUUGUCUUCGGACAGGGGUUCGACUCCCCUCGCCUCCAUAC
rnacentral:tmRNA from 1 species